UCCCUGGUAGCUCAGCUGAUAAAGAAUCUGCCUGCAAUGCAGGAGACCCUGGUUUGAUUCCUGGGUUGGGAA
rfam:Ovis aries breed Texel chromosome 18, whole genome shotgun sequence.